AAGCGCUUGCAACCAGACCUGCCUGCAGUUGCUCAUCCGUGGCUUUUGCCCGGUGCACUCUUCUGCUGUCAGGCCAGCAUCAGUUCGGGCGGUCGGAUAAAGGCUUCGGGAAUGUAGCUCCUCUCGGGGAGUGUUAUAGCCCGUUGCGAAAUGCGGCCAGCCUGGACUGAGGUCCGCGCUUCGGCUAGGAUGCUGGCGUAAUGGUUGUAAGCGGCCCGUCUUGAAACACGGACCAAGGAGUCUAACAUCUGUGCGAGUGUUUGGGUGUUAAACCCGUACGCGUAAUGAAAGUGAACGGAGGCGGGAACCCCUCGGGGUGCACCGUCGACCGAUCCUGAUGUCUUCGGAUGGAUUUGAGUAAGAGCAUAGCUGUUGGGACCCGAAAGAUGGUGAACUAUGCCUGAAUAGGGUGAAGCCAGAGGAAACUCUGGUGGAGGCUCGCAGCGGUUCUGACGUGCAAAUCGAUCGUCAAAUUUGGGCAUAGGGGCGAAAGACUAAUCGAACUAUCUAGUAGCUGGUUCCUGCCGAAGUUUCCCUCAGGAUAGCAGUAACGUUUUCAGUUUUAUGAGGUAAAGCGAAUGAUUAGAGGCCUGGGGGUUGAAACAACCUUCACCUAUUCUCAAACUUUAAAUAUGUAAGAAGUCCUUGUUGCUCAGUUGAACGUGGACAUUUGAAUGUAUCGUUACUAGUGGGCCAUUUUUGGUAAGCAGAACUGGCGAUGCGGGAUGAACCGAACGCGGAGUUAAGGUGCCGGAAUGCACGCUCAUCAGACACCACAAAAGGUGUUAGUUCAUCUAG
rnacentral:rRNA from 1 species